ensembl:lincRNA
CUUCUAGUGUAUAUGCAUGGAAACAUGAAGUCAGUCAUGUCGUCAGAGAAGAGACAGCUUAUGCCUGAAGCUGGAAGGGUGGGACAAAAUAUUGAGAGAGAGAAAGACAGGGAAAGGUAUGAAAUCCAAGUGAGUUGUUUAUGUUUAGUGUUGUGAUUAAUCCUGGGAGGCUGCUAUGAUUUACCUUGUGGAUGGCUUCCCCUGGCCAUAGCACAAUUAUGGAAACCUCAACUGCAUUGAUAAAAUCGCAAAGACAAACCUUGGGUCCCUGACAUCUUGCUCAGCCCACUGCUUUCAGAUCCCAAGGACCAUAUAAUUCUUCUUCCUCCUACCCUCUAUAUCUCUCCAUGUGCCCACUUAAAAGCAAAGAACAACUUCUACCUGUCAGGGCAAGGAGUACAAGCAUGGAAGGCUUCCUGGAGGAGAGGGCAAUUGAGGUGGGCCUAGACAAACUGGGUGAGCCAGAUUUCCAAAAUCAGAAAUGCCAGGAAACAGAGGAUAUGGUAUGUAUAGAGGCCUGGGUAGUAGACCUGGAUAUGGAGAGAUGAGCACAGUUAUAUAAGCUACAGUACCAGAAAGGCCUGCGUUAUUUAGCUGGGCCUUUAGGUAUUGGUUGAGUUUUCCCUUGUAAACCUGGAGCUCAAUGUUGGAUUCCUUGUCAAUUCCUUCAGACCCUCCAAUGACGUUGUCUGUAGGCGGGGCCUACGACUGGGUGUCCAGGCAUCCGUACCACGUGACCAGGUAGAUACCGUUAAAGUCUGGAUUGUCCUGUGGGGCUUCCGUGGACAGUUUCCCGAGGAUAUGUGGGAAUAUGGCGGCACCCGCCUUCCGGGAUCAGAAAAUGCAAUAGCAGGAUGAACUCGAGUGGAUGGUCAAAAGUCAACUCCAGGAAUGGAGGGAAUGUGGGAUGCAGCCCAGAUGACUUUCUAUUUCUGGUUCAAAAAUGGAUCUGAAGGGCCAGCAAGCUUCCUCAGGGGUGUCUGCGGAAUCUCUCUGGAAACCCGACCCCAUCAACUGUGCUGUGAAGCAAGAGGCAACCCAGGACUUCAGGCUUUUCCUUCUCCUGAGCAAGUUUCUGUUCUGGCCAACUCAGACACUGCGCAUGGAGGCUGCCAGGGCUCAGGCCUCAGUACUCAUCAGGACUCUUUACCAUUUGUCAAUGGUGCAGGCUGCAGGGGGCCUGCUGACUGGCAGUGCCAGAAAGGUCUCUGCUCUUUCUUGGCCUAUGCAAAGUCAAUUCUUUUGUGUGUGGUGAUUUAUUCAUUGAAAUACAGGUAAAGACAUUUGACAAUGUGACAGAGGGAAUUAAUGUGCUAAUUGGAAGUAUGCACUAUCCUAAGAUGUUCCUAUGGUGACUUUGAACCUUUAGUCUAAAUGGGUCCUUGUGGGUCCUGUAGUUUUCUAUUGGGACGCGAUUUGUGGAGAAGGUGGCAUCACACAACCUGAAGUUCGCUCACCUUAGGUCAAAUUCCACAUUUCUUUGGGAAGAGACCCUAAUGUGUCUACCUUUUACUCAGUACAUUGUCAUUCAUACCCUUUUGACUUGUCCCUGCCAUUGGUUAACUUACUUUUAAUCCUUGGAAUAUGAGAGUCAUUUUUAUUUUCCACCAAAUAUAAAAUUGAGGCCUGAGAUCCAUGGAAAAACGUUAUCCCAACCCAUGUUUGUUAACCAAAUAUUGUGAUGAUCACCAAGGAUGUCUUAUUUCUUAGUCCAAAAUCCCUUGUGAAACUUGAGGUAACUGUGAUGCUUCCCGCCUGUUGCACAUGCACGUGUUGUGCCCUCUGCCUCUGCAAUGUCACCGCCAUCUUUGGUCUUCUUGUUUUUUGUGAGUGGGGAAUCCUUGGGUGAAGACCGAAAUGCAUGCCUUGGUGGAUAGGUACACUUAGUAAUAGCAUGGAAGCAGCAUUCUCAAGGUAGAGGAUGCCAAAAGGGCAUCUCCAUAAUUGCUGGCAGUCUCACGGUUCCAAGCCUUCAGUGAAAGAGAAGGUGGACUUCCUCAGAAUUUAAGUUGAUACCUGGUUUCCCUGGACCUUUCCCAGGAGUUCAUUCCUAGGCCAGCCUUGUCACUUAGUUUUUUCUGGUGUGUAGUCAUUGAAUAUUUACUCACUAGUGAUAAUGGUAAUGUGCUGUAAAUUCUUGGUGUGCAGUAUUUCACAUCACACUCCAAUUUGCCUUAAAGUGCUUUUUCAUGCAUGUUUCUUAUAUGAGUGCUAGGAAGAGAGUGGAUUAUAUUGGCCACUACAAGGCAAGGCCUUUGACUGAAACUCUGUAGAUUAUUUAAGUAGAGGGAGACAAUUUAUUUUGCUACUAUUUGAUGAAAUGGUACAACAUACAUAAGGGCUGAUGUGCUCACUUUUCAUCUGGUUGUGAAAUGACUUUUCAGAUUAUACACUGGCUAUAUAGACAUGUAUAAAGUUGAGAGAUUUCAGGAGAAUAUAAUGAAAUUUAAUCCACUGAAAUCCCUAUUUGUAGACUUCUAAUCACUGUGACCAUUUUGUAUGAUUUGCAGUGAGGCUUUUCCCUGACAGUACCUAUUUUGUAGGUUCUGACCCUUGUCAUGGCUGUUUAUGAAGUAAAUUUCUGAUUCCCCAGCAAGAAAUUUGAAAAAAGCCUUUGAUACUGUUUGUUACUUUAGAGGCACAAUGUUAGCCCUCAGAAUUGAAGGCCUGGAUCUCCCACCUUAAAUACCAACACUUGUCUUCCUGGUGCCUAAGUGUCUAUGCUUGAACUAAGGCACAGACACAGGUAUAGGCAUUAGGCAUGGAGAACAAUGCAACUGCCUGUACUUCUUGUAAGACUGGUUCCCUGUUUGGCAUGUCCAGUCAUGUAACUGAGACAGCACUGGUCGUUUUGAGCAGGACCUUGGGCUACUGGAAAUGAUGGUGAUGGUUGUGACAAUGAUGUUGACGGUAGUGGUGAUGAUGCUAAAAAAAAUCACUGGGGCUAUGACUGAUGGAAAGGUCACUAGAACCAAGCGCUCUUCUCAGUUCAUUGGGUUCUCACCUCAUCCUCUAAAAACCAUGAGUUAAAUGUAUUAUUAUUCCUAUUUUACAGAGUACAUUAAUGAUUACAGAACCUUGCCAUGGUAACAAAGGCAGGAUCCUUUAGGAGGGGGAAUAAGAUCCAGCUUCAGAUGGUUCUGAAUCCGUGGUAUUAAUCACAUGCUGUGAGAACUUUUAACAGUGCUUUUGUUGCUUGAAAAAGUAAUAGUUACCCCACCCUCUGUCUCCUGUUCAUUCUGGUCCAUGUGGAUAUCCAGAGGUCACACUGGGUGUUUUUGUAGCAAUAGACAUACAUGCUGAUGACAAUGGUCCUCAAAAGCCAGGGCAAUACACCUUCAACUAAUAAAUUUCAUGGCUGGAUCCCCAGCCACUUUGAUGAUCUGUUCUUUGAUGGGAAGAAUUAUAGGGGUUCGAGGGUGAGACAGAGGUAGAGACUUCUGUGAUCAGGAAAGAUGGAAUGACACAUUGCGUAUGGUUGCUCCGUCGGGGGCCUAUUGACUCUAGGUGGGAAAGGGCUGGGAACAGUGGCACUGGGCAGAGCUGCUGGGAGAGGUGGUGGCUGAGGGACUCUGGCGGGGAUGUUCUCACAGGCUUUAUGUGUUUAAGGGAGUGUCUCCAGCCCCUUCCCCAUGCCUGGCACUGCACCAGAGGGUAUUGUUGAGUGUGACUUGGGAAAGUCUGGCUCUUGGGCAAAGAUGAGACUAUUAUGGGGGCAGAACUUGGCUGUCCAUUAUCAAUGAGAAUUCUGAACUUCGCUGUUAGUGAAAGCUUAGCAAUUUCUGGCUCAUUAGGUGCACUUCCUUAGCCUAUGACAAAUGACUUGGAGGAACGUGUUAUUAUAUGGUAUCGUCGUAGAGUAAUCCGGGGGACUCUUCUGAGAGGCACCUGUGGUUGUUUUGGGGGACAUUUCUCCCUUGGAUGGUCUCACCACUGAGUCUUUCAUGCUGAUAGUGAGCUGUGUUCACCAGCAGAGACCGAUGAAAGUGGACUGCUUUUCACUGCCUUAGCCUAUGUCAAAUGGCUGGAGGAAAUGUGACACUUCCCCUAUUAUAUUGUAGCCCCAUAGGGUAAUCUGGGGGAGUCUCCUUAGAGACCCCUGUGAUUGUUUCUGGGGGACAUUUCUCUCUUGGAUGGUCUCACCACUGAGUCUUUCAUGCUGAUAGUGAGCUGUGUUCACCAGCAGAGACCGAUGAAAGUGGACUGCUUUUCACUGCCUUAGCCUAUGUCAAAUGGCUUGAGGAAAUUUGACCCUUCACCUAUUGUAUUGUAGCCUCAUAGGGUAAUCUGGGGGAGUCUUCUUAGAGGCACCUGUGGUUGUUUGUGGGUG